CCUACGGGUGGCAGCAGUAGGGAAUCUUCCACAAUGGGCGAAAGCCUGAUGGAGCAACGCCGCGUGGGUGAAGAAGGUCUUCGGGUCGUAAAACCCUGUUGUUAGAGAAGACAGUGCGUGAGAGUAACUGUUCACGUUUCGACGGUAUCUAAGCAGAACGCCACGGCUAACUACGUGCCAGCCGCCGCGGUAAUACGUAGGUGGCAAGCGUUAUCCGGAUUUAUUGAGCGUAAAGGGAACGCAGGCGGUCUUUUAAGUCUGAUGUGAAAUCCUUGGGCUUAACCGGAGUAGUGCAUUGGAAACUGGGAGACUUGAGUGCAGAAGAGGAGAGUGGAACGCCAUGUGUAGCGGUGAAAUGCGUAGAUAUAUGGAAGAACACCAGUGGCGAAAGCGGCUCUCUGGUCUGUAACUGACGCUGAGGUUCGAAAGCGUGGGUAGCAAACAGGAUUAGAUACCCCUGUAGUC
rnacentral:rRNA from 1 species